UUCGGAAAUAUUGUUGGAAAGAUGUACGAAGGAAGAGCUGUCGCAGAUUGCCGAGCAAACACAGCAAAACAAAAACAUG